rnacentral:lncRNA from 1 species
GUUUUUUUACCGGUGUACUUAAGCUGAGGGAAAAGAGUAAGAAGGAACGCUAAUAAAUAAUUUUGAAUGAACAUAGACAUAGUAAGUAUUGCUACAGGAAGGACUUUAAUUUUACUUGUUCUUAGUGUUUUAUUCAAGAAGUUGUUAGACAUUUUAACAUAUAUUAGAAGCACGUUCUUUGAUCCUACGCAAGCCACCUGUCGUUCAUGUGACACCUUGGCUUCCACGGAGAUCUUCUCAUCCUAAAGGAGGCACAGCUUGCUUGAGCAACAAGAUGAGGCCCAAGGACUUACUGGAAUAGUGCUUCUUAAUACCCUCAAAAACCCCUGCUUCAGCUUUAACACGUAGAAAUUGUACAACCGGAUCUGUUGUAGAGGCCCUUUGGACCAGUCCGAGUCACUCAUCUGAUCGCUGAUGGCAAUUUGUUGGUUCACAAAGAAGUUCAUGAUCCGAUUCCUGGUCCCAGAUCUGUUGUACUCAUUAUUGGUAGAGGUCCAUCCCAAAAAGCAUCCCAUCAGCAAGCUUCUGCGCGAAAGGAUAAAUUAAGACUUCAUCUCAUGUUUAUUCAUAGAGUUUCUUCCACUUUUCUCUUAUCAGAAGUAUAACGGGUUUUAAAAGAGUCGGUUCGAACUCUUUAUAAAAAGGUGCAACAUAGAUGUUCAAUAUGUUAUAUUUUAAAAUAUAUUAAAAUUGAAUUUAAUUCAAUCAUUUUACACUAAUUAAUGCAAAAAUACAUUACAAAUAACUUCAAUUAUAUGAAAAUGACUCAUUUUAAAUCUUAAAUUAUAUGUGGAAGAUACAUUUAUGCUAUGAUAUAUGUAUGAGGGCGAAACUUCUCUAUGGCGAAACUGCACAGGACGUAACAUCCUAGAACCUGUUUUAAUGUAUAAUUGCGAUAGAUAUUAUUGAAUUUUGAUUAAAAAUUAUAUAGAAAUGAUGUCAAAUUUCAAAAAAAAACUUAUUUUAUAACAUGUCUAAAUGUCUUAAUGUAAGAGAAAAUUUAUUCACAUUUUCAUUUGUAUAAAAUAUAGUGCAUAUAUUAUUGGUAGUUUAGUUUAUAAUUUAUUUUAGUUUUAUUUAUUCUGAGAUGCAUUGGACCUACAAUUUCAAUAUUACAUAAUUUUCUUAUGAAGAAUUCUAACAUGCUUUAAAUAUGAUCUUAUACUUGUAACAGAAGAAAAUAAAAUAACCAUUAUAAUUUA